AUUAAGGGCGCACGGUGGAUGCCUUGGCACUAGAAGCCGAUGAAGGACGUUACUAACGACGAUAUGCUUUGGGGAGCUGUAAGUAAGCUUUGAUCCAGAGAUUUCCGAAUGGGGAAACCCAGCAUGAGUUAUGUCAUGUUAUCGAUAUGUGAAUACAUAGCAUAUCAGAAGGCACACCCGGAGAACUGAAACAUCUUAGUACCCGGAGGAAGAGAAAGAAAAUUCGAUCCCCUUAGUAGCGGCGAGCGAAACGGGAAGAGCCCAAACCAACAAGCUUGCUUGUUGGGGUUGUAGGACACUCUAUACGGAGUUACAAAGGACGACAUUAGACGAAUCAUCUGGAAAGAUGAAUCAAAGAAGGUAAUAAUCCUGUAGUCGAAAAUGUUGUCUCUCUUGAGUGGAUCCUGAGUACGACGGAGCACGUGAAAUUCCGUCGGAAUCUGGGAGGACCAUCUCC
rnacentral:rRNA from 1 species